rnacentral:rRNA from 1 species
GAUGAACGCUGGCGGCGUGCCUAAUACAUGCAAGUCGAGCGAACGGACGCGAAGCUUGCUUCUCUGAUGUUAGCGGCGGACGGGUGAGUAACACGUGGAUAACCUACCUAUAAGACUGGGAUAACUUCGGGAAACCGGAGCUAAUACCGGAUAAUAUUUUGAACCGCAUGGUUCAAAAGUGAAAGACGGUCUUGCUGUCACUUAUAGAUGGAUCCGCGCUGCAUUAGCUAGUUGGUAAGGUAACGGCUUACCAAGGCAACGAUGCAUAGCCGAGCUGAGAGGGUGAUCGGCCACACUGGAACUGAGACACGGUCCAGACUCCUACGGGAGGCAGCAGUAGGGAAUCUUCCGCGAUGGGCGAAAGCCUGACGGAGCAACGCCGCGUGAGUGAUGAAGAUCUUCGGAUCGUAAAACUCUGUUAUUAGGGAAGAACAUAUGUGUAAGUAACUGUGCACAUCUUGACGUUACCUAAUCAGAAAGCCACGGCUAACUACGUG